AUUUUGUGAGUACAUUUAGUUCUGAGUUGGCAUAGAGUAGUACUAUGUAAAAUUCUUCUCCAUUGUACGACCCAUGCUGGCCCAGUGAAAGAUUUCAAUUCACUAACA